rnacentral:rRNA from 1 species
CCUACGGGAGGCUGCAGUGGGGAAUUUUGGACAAUGGGCGCAAGCCUGAUCCAGCUAUUCCGCGUGUGGGAUGACGGCCUUCGGGUUGUAAACCACUUUUGUAGAGAACGAAAAGUCUGUUGAUAAUACCGAUAGAUGAUUACGGUACUCUAAGAAUAAGCACCGGCUAACUACGUGCCAGCAGCCGCGGUAAUACGUAGGGUGUGUGCGUUAAUCGGAAUUACUGGGCGUAAAGGGUGUGCAGGCGGUUUUGCAAGUUGGAUGUGAAAGCCCCGGGCUUAACCUGGGAAAGCCAUACAUGACUGCAAGACUAGAGUGCGUCAGAGGGGGGUGGAAUUCCAAGUGUAGCAGUGAAAUGCGUAGAUAUUUGGAAGAACACCGAUGGCGAAGGCAGCCCCCUGGGACGCAACUGACGCUCAUACACGAAAGCGUGGGGAGCAAACAGGAUUAGAUACCCGGGUAGUC